UACGUAGGGGGCAAGCGUUGUCCGGAAUCAUUGGGCGUAAAGAGCGUGUAGGCGGCCCGAUAAGUCCGCUGUGAAAGUCCAGGGCUCAACCCUGGGAUGCCGGUGGAUACUGUCGGGCUCGAGUCCGGAAGAGGAGUGUGGAAUUCCUGGUGUAGCGGUGAAAUGCGCAGAUAUCAGGAGGAACACCCAAUGGCGAAGGCAGCACUCUGGGACGUGACUGACGCUGAGACGCGAAAAGCUGGGGAGCAAACAGG
rnacentral:rRNA from 1 species